AUAUAAAUCACUCAGGGAUCUUGUUAAAAUGUAGAUUCUUGCUUCAGUAAUCUGGGAUGGACCUUCUGAGUCUGCAUUUCUAAUAAGCUCCCAGGUGAUGCUAAG
rnacentral:pre_miRNA from 1 species